CGUUUCCGGAAGUAGACGUUUCGUUUUACCUGGCUCUGCCAUCGAAAAUGAUUAGAAAAUGAAUAGUAAGUGGUGAUCUAAGAAGGUAUCAUAGGUUUUUCAACCCUUUUGCAAUUUUUAACAAAAAAGACAACAUCUCGAGAUGACGAAUGUGUUUAUUAAGAAGACCCUUUCAUCAAAAUAUUACGAUCAAAUAAUCGUUAAGAAAUGUUAUAUUUCACGAUCAACAAGAAACAAUGAACGAACGAUAAAUAUUUAUAUUUGCGUAAAAUGAGCUAAGUCAUCAAAUAGAGGUUAUCAUUGGUCUGCGAUGUUUGCGUGUGUAUGUGUUUAACGUAUCGGAGAAUAUAUCUGCCGUUUUCAGCAUAUAGUAAAGAUCGAAUAGUUAGAAAUUUGUUGGCUAAUCAUGGCACAAGACGAGGAAAACAAGUUGAUUAGAGAAGAUUUUAAUGCCGGCCCAUCCAGUUUUGAUGAAAUCGAACCAGAUCUAUUUCUAGGGAAUCUCACAGCUGCCACGGAUGUGAAGUGGUUGAAAGAAAUUAAUAUGACUCACAUACUUACGGUAGAUUCUUGUCCUCUACCAAGAAAGAUUCAAGAACGAUUACCCAAUCUCACUGUAAAAUAUAUUCAAAUAACAGAUAUGCCAAGGGAAGAUUUAUUAACUCAUUUGGAAGAUUCUUAUGAAUUUAUUGAUCAAGCUUUAAAAUCAAAUGGCAGAACGCUGGUACAUUGUUACUUUGGCGUAUCCAGAUCCGUUAGCGUUGUUAUCGCUUAUAUAAUGAAGAAACAUAGAAAAUCUUUUUUAGAUGCAUUGGAAAUAGUCAAACAAAAGAGACAUUUUGUUGGACCAAAUCCUGGAUUUAUAGCUCAAUUGCAAUUAUACGAAGAGAUGGACUUUGGUAUAGACAAUACUAAUGUUCAAUUUAAGAUGUACAGAUUGCAAAUAGCUGCGGAUAAAGUGAGGAAAGUGAAAAUUUUACCCCAAAAUUGCAUUGAUUUAAUAAAGCCGGAUCCUGCAUUAAUGACUAUACGCCCAGAACCAACCGUUUAUCGUUGUAGAAAGUGUCGAAGAAUCGUGGCAAGUGCAAGUAAUAUUUUACCGCAUACAAUGCAUCAACGACAGAUUUGGCGACAUAUUAGUUCUAAACGAAUAUCUAAACAGAUAAAAAACGGGGAAGAUGGAGCAGAACGUGUAAAUGUAAAGAAAGAAAGCGAAAUGACAGAACUAUGCACAAAGAUAUAUUUUGUGGAGCCGUUGGCAUGGAUGCCAGACAUAAUGCAUAAUGUGGAAGGAAAGUUGAAUUGUCCAAAGUGUAAUACAAAAUUAGGCUCUUUUAGCUGGGUAGCCGGUAGUCAGUGCCCAUGUGGUAGUAAAAUAGCUCCUGCAUUUUAUUUAGUACCGUCUAAAGUCGAUUGGAGUAAUGCUGUUCAGAAUGUACAGAUAACAGUAUAGUACCAAAGAUUAAUAGAUCAUUUAUGGUGAAAAUGAUUCUAUGGACGGAUAAUUACAAUAAUUAUCAUUAUCAUAGCUGUCAUUGUAUUAAUGGUAAAUCUGCUAAAAAUUUGUAUUAUAUUUUUAUCAUAAAGCGUAUCGGAUAAAAAAUAAUAAGACAUUUGUAACAACGAUUUGUAAUCAACAAUUUAUAAUGCAAUGAUGUAAUCGAUUUCAAUAUUUACGUCUUACGUUGAAUAGAGUCGUCUGUCGCGCAUAAUCUAGCGAUUAUACGUAUACAUAUAUAUAUAUAUAUAUAUAUAUAUAUAUAUAUAUAUAUAUAUAUAUGUAUAUGUAUAUGUAUAUGGAUAUAUAUAUAUAUCUCCAUUGUGUAAUUAAUGAUAUUUCUUACAGUAUUAUUAAGAAAGUUAUAUUUGUGUUUAAUCUAUCCGACUGCUAAUACUACAUGCAUUUGCAUAUUAUCCCAUUUGAUCAAGUAUACAUGGAUAUCUAUAUACACAAUACAGUAAAUCUCGUUAAGGAAUUAUUAUGUAUACCUUAUAUACGAUAUCUUUAGCUCUCCUCACGGUUUAUACAACGUAUAAACAUAUAUAUUUGAAAGUGAGAGCAUCUUUGGUUUUAACGAACGAAUCCUGUGCAAGCGCAAGAAUCUUGUGGACGAAAGAAAGCAGGACGAAAUAAAGUUAUUAUUGAGGACGUGUA